rnacentral:misc_RNA from 1 species
AACGCACAUUGCGCCCCCUGGUAUUCCGGGGGGCAUGCCUGUCCGAGCGUCAUUGCUGCCCUCAAGCACGGCUUGUGUGUUGGGCCUCCGUCCUCCGCCCGGGGGACGGGCCCGAAAGGCAGCGGCGGCACCGCGUCCGGUCCUCGAGCGUAUGGGGCUUCGUCACCCGCUCUUGUAGGCCCGGCCGGCGCUUGCCGACACAUCAAUCUUUUUUUCCAGGUUGACCUCGGAUCAGGUAGGGAUACCCGCUGAACUUAA